GAUGAACGCUAGCUACAGGCUUAACACAUGCAAGUCGAGGGGCAGCGGGGAUCUAGCUUGCUAGAUUUGCCGGCGACCGGCGCACGGGUGAGUAACACGUAUCCAACCUGGCCCAUACUCGGGUAUAGCCUCUCGAAAGGGAGAUUAAUCCCCGGUGUUGUUGUUUCACCGCAUGGUGUUGCAACCAAAGAAUUUCGGUAUGGGAUGGGGAUGCGUUCCAUUAGCUUGUUGGCGGGGUAACGGCCCACCAAGGCGACGAUGGAUAGGGGUUCUGAGAGGAAGGUCCCCCACACUGGAACUGAGACACGGUCCAGACUCCUACGGGAGGCAGCAGUGAGGAAUAUUGGUCAAUGGGCGAGAGCCUGAACCAGCCAAGUAGCGUGAAGGAUGACUGCCCUACGGGUUGUAAACUUCUUUUGUUUGGGAAUAAAGUUCAGCACGUGUGCUGUUUUGUAUGUACCAUUCGAAUAAGCAUCGGCUAAUUUCGUGCCAGCAGCCGCGGUAAUAC
rnacentral:rRNA from 1 species